UUACCCACAAUGCUCAGAGAGUCAGAGGGAGGGGGAGGAGGUGGAUGGUGAGAAGGAGGAGCAGAGGAGGCGCGCCAUAGAGGGAGUGGUGCACAUCACAAUACUCUGCCUGAUGGAGAUGAACAAGAAGGGACUGGCCGACAAACUGUUGAGCGGAUAUGCUGCUGUCGAGUGCCAACAUAAAAUCAAGUCUCGUUUGAGGAAGAAGUUCUGGUGUGUGUUUGAGGGAAUCGCUAAAGCAGGACAUUCAACACCUCUGAAUGAGUUUUACACAGAGAUCUUCAUCACAAAGAGAGGCAGUGGAGAGGUCAACCAGGAACAUGAGGUCAGGCUGAUUGAAGCAGCUUCCAGGAAACCAGCCGAGGAGGAAACACCAAUCAGAUGUGAGGACAUCUUUAAACCAUUACCUGGAGAAGAUAAACCAAUCAGGACAAUAAUGACAACGGGAGUAGCCGGCAUUGGUAAAACCAUCUUAACAAAAAAGUUCACUCUGGACUGGGCUGAAGG